AAGAAAGAAGCAGAGAUCAAACAGCUACGGAGAAAUCUCAAUUUCAAAGCAACUCCCAUGCCUGCCUUAUACCGUGAACCUGGCCGCCGCUCAGAAAAAAACAAGGAUGGACAGAGCUGGGAGGAGGCAGGAGCAAGAGCUGCAGUCAGAGGCAGAUGAAGGGUUGACAGAAAGAGAGAAAUUCUAGAUGUUCUGAGGGCAAAAACUGUUAUUUUCUGUGUUGAAACUAGGAGUUAGCAAGUAAAACUAAAUCACAAAGCAGGCCUUCGACUGCAGCAGGGGCUAGAGCUACUAGUGCAACUGAGAACACUGUUCGUUGUUUAAGGGCAUAAGUUUAUAACAGAUGUUCCACUAAUGAACGUCUAAAUGUGGCCGAUUCACCACAGGUUUCAGAAGUAA